AGAACGAACGCUGGCGGCAGGCUUAACACAUGCAAGUCGAACGCUCGUAGCAAUACGGGAGUGGCAGACGGGUGAGUAACGCGUGGGAACAUACCCUCCGGUUCGGAAUAGCUCAGGGAAACUUGGAUUAAUACCGGAUACGGCUGAGAGGCGAAAGAUUUAUCGCCGGAGGAUUGGCCCGCGUUCGAUUAGCUUGUUGGUGAGGUAAUGGCUCACCAAGGCGAUGAUCGAUAGCUGGUCUGAGAGGAUGAUCAGCCACAUUGGGACUGAGACACGGCCCAAACUCCUACGGGAGGCAGCAGUGGGGAAUAUUGGACAAUGGGCGCAAGCCUGAUCCAGCCAUGCCGCGUGAGUGAUGACGGCCUUAGGGUUGUAAAGCUCUUUCGCCCGCGACGAUGAUGACGGUACCCGCAGAAGAAGCCCCGGCUAACUUCGUGCCAGCAGCCGC
rnacentral:rRNA from 1 species